GGGCCCAUAGCUCAGCUGGUAGAGCUACCGGCUCAUAACCGGUUGGGCCCACCAGGACUCGAACCUGGGACCAACCGGUUAGUCCCAGGUUCGAGUCCUGGUGGGCCCACCA
rnacentral:tRNA from 1 species